UAUAAUUUUUUAUUUUUCUUUUUUAUUUAAAUUUUUUUGUAAUUAAUAUUUUUGUUUUUAUUAGAUGAUAAAUCAUGAAUAGUAUUUUACGUGUGACUAAUUUUUUUCUAAUUUUCUGAAAAUUUUUCAAAUAAGACGGAUAGUCAAACGUUGGACACGAAAAUCAAAG
rnacentral:pre_miRNA from 1 species